GAUGAAGAACGUAGCGAAAUGCGAUACGUAAUGUGAAUUGCAGAAUUCAGUGAAUCAUCGAAUCUUUGAACGCAUAUUGCGCUCUCUGGUAUUCCGGAGAGCAUGCUUGUUUGAGUAUCAGUAAACACCUCAACUCCCUUUUCUUUUUUGAAAUUGGAGCUGGACUUGAGUGAUCCCAACGCUUUCUUCCACGAAAGUGGCGGGUUGCUUGAAAUGCAGGUGCAGCUGAACUUUUCUCUGAGCUAUAAGCAUAUCUAUUUAGUCUGCCUAAAAAACAGAUUAUUACCUUUGCUGCAGCUAACAUAAAGGAGACUAGUUCUUGUGCUGACUGAUGCAGGAUUCACAGAGACAGCUUCGGCUGACUUUGUAAACUCGAUCUCAAAUCAAGUAAGACUACCCGCUGAACUUAAGCAUAUCAUAAGCGGAGGA
rnacentral:misc_RNA from 1 species